GAUGAACGCUGACAGAAUGCUUAACACAUGCAAGUCUACUUGAUUCUACUUCGGUAGUUGAUGGUGGCGGACGGGUGAGUAACGCGUAAAGAAUCUGCCCUUUAGUUUGGGAUAACCUUUGGAAACGAAGGCUAAUACCGGAUAUUAUGGAGACGUCGCAUGGCGACUCCAUGAAAGCUAUAUGCGCUAGAGGAGGACUUUGCGUACCAUUAGUUAGUUGGUGAGGUAAUGGCUCACCAAGACCGCGAUGGGUAGCCGGCCUGAGAGGGUGAUCGGCCACAAGGGAACUGAGACACGGUCCUUACUCCUACGGGAGGCAGCUGUGGGGAAUAUUGGACAAUGGGCCACGAGCCUGAUCCAGCAAUUCUGUGUACACGAUGAAGGUCUUCGGAUUGUAAAGUGCUUUCAGUAGGGAAGAAAAAAAUGACGGUACCUACAGAAGAAGCGACGGCUAAAUAUGUGCCAGCAGCCGCCGUAA
rnacentral:rRNA from 1 species